CAGGGAAUAGUUUAUAAAAAAUAUUAAUUUUGGAGAUUAAUGAAGAAGUCAAAAUCUUCCUUGA
rnacentral:tRNA from 1 species